rnacentral:rRNA from 1 species
UACGGAGGAUGCGAGCGUUAUCCGGAUUUAUUGGGUUUAAAGGGUGCGUAGGCGGGAUGCCAAGUCAGCGGUAAAAAUGCGGUGCUCAACGCCGUCGAGCCGUUGAAACUGGCGUUCUUGAGUGGGCGAGAAGUAUGCGGAAUGCGUGGUGUAGCGGUGAAAUGCUUAGAUAUCGCGCAGAACCCCGAUCGCGAAGGCAGCGUACCGGCUCCACACUGACGCUGAGGCACGAAAGCGUGGGCAUCGAACAGG